CAAGCAAAACAGAGGUCAGAGGCGUCAGCCCCACCUAAAAGGGCGUUGGCUGUUGAAUGGGCGUUGGCAAACAAAAACACACAAAAUGAAUAAUGAAGUCCAAAAUUAAAUUCAUGUACAGUAGACUACAUGGAAGGCUCUAUUGAUUUUCUAGCAUAGCCUGUACACUGUCCCUCAGUUCCUGUGGGAGUCCCUCCAGCAGUUCCUCUUCAUUUAUAUUGAGGUCCAAGUUCUGCACAACAUUCAUUCCAUCACUUUGUUGGAAUACAAUCAUAUCAGAUGAAGCCUCUUCAGUUGUGAGAGCCAACUGAUCAAGAGGAUCAGAAUCAGGUUGAAGGAGAGAGAGUAGAUCAGAUAUUAAGAAGAGAAGGAUCAAUGGAGUCCAUUCCUAGUUCAUUAGUAACAGCUUCCAAGAGAACAUUCUCAUCUGACUUCCUUCUAAUAAAUCAAGACAGCAUGAAGCUUUACUGACCAGAAAAACUCAACACUAUCAAGUUUAUCUGCCCCAGCAAGAUAUCACAACAAUUCAUUUUCAAGAGUCCCUCAAACUGUAACUGUUGAGUGACACGACAGCAAUCCAUCAAAUACCUUUCUUUCCGAAGGUACACCACAACCUAGGGACUCAAUCUGUGGGUCUACCAUUGCACUAGUUGAUAACAGCCCAUCAGAGAGGGAGACCAGAUCAAAGAGGUUAGGAGUAGAAUAAUACUAUCAAUCCUAAUUCAAUAUAGUGUAAUUAUUAUGUUCCAAUUUGUACUCUGUAGGAGUAGAUUGUUCUUAUAUAAAAAU